AAUUUGACCUCAAUAUUAUUUUUUUUCUGGUAAAUCAGAGUAUGCUGGAACCUGAAAUAUUUUUCCAUGUAAGCAUUUCUGGGCUGGACUUAAUUCACUUCUAAAUCUUUGUCUGAAUAAAUAAAAUAGACUAACAUUCUUAAAUCUUAAUCUGUCAGGUCUGUUUUACGGACACUGAGUCAUGCUUAUAAACCUUUCCUGAAUAUGCUCCAGUUUCUCAAUGAUCUUUCUGAAGCAAGGACAUGAGAUCUAUACUCUCAUAAUACCUCUUUCCUGUUUUGGUUACCUCUUCUUUCUGCAGUCAAGGAUGGCACUCAAAAGUUUAGCUGCUGUGCUGCCACAGGACCAUACGCUUGUAUGGCUGCCUUGUAUGACUUCUACAUAGGAGACCUGGAGAAAAGACAAUAGCACUGCACAAGCCUCAGAGAAUGCAUGAGUACCUACACCACCAUCCAUCCCUUCCUGCAGCAUGUGGCGAUGCACACAGCACUGGGAUAGAUAUUUCUAUGCCCACUAAGACUGUAUUUGCCACUGCGACACAGAAUUGAAAGAUUAAUAUGCCACCCCAGUAUUUCCAUCUGAAUGUCAUUGUAGUGCCAAUAGACUCAUUUCAAACUGUCUGUUGGGAACAAGAUGUACAAAAAGGGACAGUGGGAAUAUGCAAUCCUCUUUAAGGAGACUAUUAUGUGGCCACAGUGGUUUCCCACUAUGCAGAGCCAACUUCCUGUAUUCCUGGAGCUGUGAAGCCUAAUGAAAAUGACCUCCUCCCUCCUGAUAGCCAGGUUAUGUGGUGCUUCCAGUAGAGCAACACAUCCCUCUGAUGACAGCAUGGAGUAUGCUGCAAAAGGCAUUGCAGGUAAUAAGCUCAAAUCAUGAUUCCGUAACAGCAAUUCUGAGACAACCAUGGCAAGCAGCAAAAUCAGAUCAUGUGCAGCACUAAGCAACGGUGAAAAUUUCCAGUUACCACUCCAAGACUUCAGGAAUAGUGAACUAUGGGUAUUUUUUUCUUUCAUUACAAAGGAUUACAGAUAGCAAUAGUCGGUAACGUGAAAUACUGUCUCCAGAAGAAACUGACAUUGUGUGCCCACCAUUUUUAAACGCUGUAUGCAGGGUAAUCAGAUCAGACCUUUCCUACCCCAGAACUUUACUGAGUCCUGCUCAGUAAAUUUGUCCAACCAUUAAAGCUUUAUUAUCCUCUAAGAGCCCAGACAUGGGUGGAGAAGCACAAAAAUGCAAAGCACAACAAGUACUGCUUCACGACUAUUCAGUUUUGUGAAAAAUAAUGGUGUCUUUCCUACUGUGUGUGAACAGAUACUCAGUUUCCAGUCUGCUAGAUCUCAUCGUGUGUUCUAACUGGUGGAAAAUUGAUUAAAAAUUAGCACUGAGUUAAGCUCCUACUGUCUAAUCUUAUUACGUAAGCUUGAUUGUGUUUCACACUAAUAAGCUAAGAGGUUAGGACAUUAAUCUACUAUAAAUGAAAUGCUCCUAUGAAAUGUGAUGGAAGAGACAACAUGGAACUCACUUCACUGCAGCUGACUUACUAUAUUGCGCGCUGUGCUGUUAACGAAGACAAUGUUACAGCCUAUGUUAUUUGUGCUUUGAAGUUGUUACUGAUUUUAUAAUUUUCCUUCAAAACCUAGGGACAAAUCCCCAAUAAUACUAACAAAAUCAUUAAAAAAUAAUACAACUUGCAACGUGUUUGUGUUAUUUACAAGUUCAUGACCUAUCAGAGAGAUACAUUUUGACUAAGGACAGCGAGGGUGAGGGAGUAAAGGUGACACAACAGGGAGCUUUGGAGCUUGACUUCCGGCAGCAUGGAUGUCUGAUCACUUAUGAGUUACGUACCAUAGCUGGUAUUGAUUUUGAUCUGAAUUCAUUAGUUGUACACAGAUGUGCAUGGGAAAACACAAGAAUUAAUUUCUCCCCUGCUUCCAAAGCAGCACCUUUUAUUUCAUGCUUUUUGGAAGGAACAGAUGAUUGCCUCAUGGGUAAAGAUGGGAGGGAAGCUGAGCAGGAUCAUUAGCAUUCAGUUCUUUGCACACUUGAGAACAAUUUUAAAACCGGGAUUCGCUCAUCUAGAUGUUGCUUGUGAGAGUGGUACUGGAAGGCCAAAUUAAUGCUGGCAAAGCUCGUUGGGUGAGGAUCACUCUGCAGGUGCAUAAAUACUACUCUGAUAACAUCUGAAACUAUUUUAACUACAAGUCUUCAUAAUAUCUCUGUGAGAAAUAACCAUAGAAUUUAAAUGACAGGUGCAGUGAAAAGAACAUCAUUUUAAACUAAACCAAACAAGCAGUGUUAUUUAUUUAUUGUUCUCAAGUUUCUGGUGCUGAUUUACUCACUGGGAAGAUUAUGCAUAUUACCAACACGGAGCUCACCUAACAGUAUACACUGCCACUAAAAUAAAUAAAUAAAUAAAUAAAUUCUUCAUUCUUGUAAAUUAUGCAGCUAGAGGCAUAUUGGACAUGAUUCGGAUUGACUAAAGUCACAGAAAGACUAGAAAUCAGCAUAGCACUUCUUGUUCUCAAAACAAGAAUUCUCCACAUGGAUGUUGAGCAUAGGCCUGAAAAGUGAUUCUCCAGAUGUACAUUGCACAACUUGGUUCGCAUCAAACAUCCAGAGCCAGAGCUGCAGCCCCUCUGAGAUCCCCUUCACUGUGCCCAGGAGAGCAAAGAAAACUCAGAGCUGAUACCCAGAGGAGCCUCCUCUGUGUCUCUGAUAAAGCAGAAUCCUUCAGCAGCACUGAGCUUUCCAUCAUCUGCUUCCCAUCACUUCUCAUGCAAGGGCAGGAAGAAGCUGCUGGAGCAGAAACUGGAACCUGGGCUGGGACCACAUGCUUGGUGCCCAGGGAAGGCAGCCAUCCUUGGAGGUUUUGCUCAUGGCCCAAAACAGGGACAGCAGAAAAGAGCUCUCUGUUAGCAGAGGGGCUGUGCUGGCCCCUGCCCAGGAAGGGUUAGCAGGGGUACAAGGGCUGCCUUGUCUUCACUGCUGGUCACAGCAGCCGGACCUACCACACAUGGCACAGCAUGGAAUUACCCUUCUGCAUCAGGACUCUCUGAGCUAGUGCUCAAGCCCAUUUUGAGAACAUGUUCUGGUGCUCAGCAACCACAAUCAGUGGGAUAAGGAGAAAUUGAGGGUGCACAGCUGGGGGGAGGAGAAGAAGGAGGAGGAGAAGAAGGGGAAGGAGGAGAAGAAGGAGAAGAAGGAGAAAGAGGAGAAGGAAGAGAAGGAAGAGAAGGAGGAGAAGGAGGAGAAGGAGAAGGAGAAGAAGAAGAAGAAGAAGAGGCAGAAGCAGAAGAGGCAGAAGCAGAAGAAGAAAAGAAAAGGAAAAAAAAAAAACUCUUCUGACUCAUGCCUUAAAAUCAAAUCCACUUCAGUGGAUUUAGCUCAUACCAACAUUCUUGUAGCAAGCCACUGGAGCGGGCACUGAGGUUCCAGCUGUUUUAUGUGGUGUUCAUUAUAUCUGCCUGCUACAGCCUGAUUUUUAUUGCUUUGAAAACAUGUAAACCUCUUCUCAGUACAUAGGUAAGCAAAUCCUGAACGAUAUUACCCAGAGUGAGGGGAAGGGAAUGGCUUAGCGGCUAACCUUAGCACGAAGCAGAAAGGCUGUGGUGCAGAGCAAACAAUCUCCGUGGUCGGGGUCUGUCAGUCAAAUUCCUGGUGGACAAUCAGCCCUUAAGAUGUGAUUCCUGUCCCGGAAUAGCCCACACUUACGCUCUUAAGAGUUCAUAAAAACCUGCGGGUGACGACUCGCCGCGGCGGCUCGGGCCCCGCGGCGCAGAGGCGUUGGGUGAGCGCUG
ensembl:lncRNA